rnacentral:tRNA from 1 species
GCCCUCGUAAUCCAACCGGCAGAGAUAGGCGACUCAAAAUCGUCCCAGUGUGGGUUCGACUCCCACCGAGGGCACCA